CGGGGCGUAGCGCAGUCUGGUAGCGCACUUGCAUGGGGUGCAAGGGGUCGCAGGUUCAAAUCCUGCCGUCCCGA
rfam:Nitrincola lacisaponensis strain 4CA MTCC16316_S1_L001_R1_001_(paired)_contig_5, whole genome shotgun sequence.